GACUCUCGGCAACGGAUAUCUCGGCUCUCGCAUCGAUGAAGAACGCAGCAAAAUGCGAUACUUGGUGUGAAUUGCAGAAUCCCGUGAAUCAUCGAGUUUUUGAACGCAAGUUGCGCCCGA
rnacentral:rRNA from 1 species